rnacentral:rRNA from 1 species
GAUGAACGCUGGCGGCGUGCCUAAUACAUGCAAGUCGAGCGGACGGACGAGGAUUUUGCUUGUCUGAUGUUAGCGGCGGGCGAGUGAGUCACACGUGUCUAACCUCCAUAUAUGAAUGGUAUCACGUCGCGAAAGCGUAUAUAACAUCCGAUAAGAUUUUGAACCGCGGGGAUCAUCAGAGCACACGGUUUCUGCUGUGACUAAUUGGGGGUUCCGAGCUGGAUUAGUUAGUUGGUAAGGUAACGGCUUUCCAAGGCUACGAUGCAUGGCCGACCUGAGAGGGUGAUCAGCCACACUGGAACUGAGACACGGUCCAGACUCCUACGGGAGGCAGCAGUCGGGAAUCUUAGGCAAUGGGCGAAAGCCUGACGCAGCGACGCCGCGUGUGUGAUGAAGGUCUUCGGAUCGUAAAGCACUUUUAGUAGGGAUGAACGGCUGUAAAUUAAUACGUUGCCAUCUUGACGGUACCUAAUGAAAAAGCACCGGCUAACUACGUG